CGUCACAGUUCCUUCGAUACGCAUAACAACGAUCCCACUGGGGACAAACAAAAGUAGCGUCGUCUCCACCGAACCAGUUGUCAGUGGCAACAUAUAGGAAUCGUGUACAUUUCUUCGUUUCUUCUUUGCUGUUUUCAGUGAGUGUUUUGUUUUCUCUUUGUCCUUGAUCUCGACGAUGUUGUCGUGCUCAUUACCUUACUGAGACGUCUCUUGUGACUGUAGCCAGUGUCACGGAGAAUUUUAUUGGCGUGACAAGGUAGAUCGCCGAGAUCGAGCGUGAAAAACGCUCUGCAUUAGUAGCUCCUGUAGAAUGUUUUCUGGGAUGGCGUAUCCAUGGUCAACAAAACCAAGGUGCAAGACAGCAUGAGAGAUCGUGUAAACGAUGUGAACUCCAAAAGAUAAUCUGGCCAAAUUUAUUGUAACUAGAGAGUGCAAUCGUGCUUGGGCCCAUCCCAAUGUCAUCACAUGGCUGUGGUGACUAGUGUAUAUCUGGGCGAAUUUUCCUCGACUGAUACGGAGUGCAGGUGGAUCGAUUAUGAGAAAUGCGAACAUGUGAAGUUCAAGGCUAGAUGCCCUUCACAUCCGGCGUGCGAUCUCAGCGUCUGGGACCUGAUGAAGUCUUGGUUGGAUGAUUAUUCAAGCCUGAUACUACUCGACACACCAAUGUACAUGUCAAUGUAAUUUUUUCAGAGCUGCACUAUUUACGUGUUGAUGCUUACUUCGGUGUUAGCGUGUUUCCCCCGGACUGUUUUUAUCAUCAUGAUCGUGUGUUCUUGGGCUGAGCGAGCACAUGCACAAGUGUGCAGCUAUAAACCUGUGUAUCUUUGGUUACACUUUGUUCUGCAAUGCAUGUACCUUGUAACAUUAUGUGCUUGCACUGCUUUGUCUGGCCUGCGUAUUUCGGGACUAUUCAGUGCAUUAGACCCAGGUUUGUUUGGUUGCCGGAUGAUCUCUUGUUGCGUCGCUCUGUAUUUGUAUUCAUCAAUUUUUGGGCUUGAGAAUUGAGCUGUUGUGUGGUUCCCAAUAUGAAAACAUCAUGCUGGUGCUCUGUGUUUCGAUUAUCGACUGCCGGAGCAGUCAUGCAUUUAUUAGCAGAACGGUCAAUACUGUAGUCUUUUCA